rnacentral:rRNA from 1 species
UACGUGAGCCCCGAGCGUUAUCCGGAAUUACUGGGCGUAAAGUGUGCGUAGGCGGCGUGAUUAGUCUCCUGAUAAAUCCAUCGGCUCAACCGGUGAACUCCGGGGGAAACGGUCAUGCUUGAGUAUGUGAGAGGUCUGUAGAACUCAUAGUGUAGGGGUGAAAUCCGUUGAUAUUAUGGGGAAUACCAAAUGCGAAGGCAGCAGACUGGCACAUUACUGACGCUGAAUCACGAAAGCGUGGGUAGCGAAUGGG